rnacentral:rRNA from 1 species
UCGGGAAUUUUGGGCAAUGGGCGAAAGCCUGACCCAGCAACGCCGCGUGAAGGAUGAAGUAUUUCGGUAUGUAAACUUCGAAAGAAUAGGAAGAAUAAAUGACGGUACUAUUUAUAAGGUCCGGCUAACUACGUGCCAGCAGCCGCGGUAAUACGUAGGGACCAAGCGUUGUUCGGAUUUACUGGGCGUAAAGGGUGCGUAGGCGGCAAUUCAAGUCAUCUGUGAAAUCUCCGGGCUUAACUCGGAACGGUCAGAUGAUACUGCUUUGCUAGAGUGCAGAAGGGGCAAUCGGAAUUCUUGGUGUAGCGGUGAAAUGCGUAGAUAUCAAGAGGAACACCUGAGGUGAAGACGGGUUGCUGGGCUGACACUGACGCUGAGGCGCGAAAGCCAGGGGAGCAAACGGGAUUAGAUACCCAAGUAGUCCCUGAGCGGGCUGGCAAGGCGCAU